GCGGCAGUGGCCGUGGCCCUGGCCGUGGGAGGCGGGCCCGGCGGAGCCCAGCCGCGCGGGGACCGGCCCCAGCGCCCGCUCCCCCAGCGUCGCGGCCGCGCGGCCCGGCGAAGCCUGGAGACCCCCCCCCCCCCACGCCGGGCGCAGUCGCGAUGUCGGUGGCGGGGCUGAAGAAGCAGUUCCACAAAGCCAGCCAGCUAUUCAGUGAAAAAAUAAGUGGCGUCGAAGGAACGAAACUAGAUGAUGAAUUUCUUGACAUGGAGAGGAAAAUAGACAUUACCAAUAAAGCUGUUGCAGAAAUUAUUUCGAAAGCCACAGAAUAUCUUCAGCCAAAUCCAGCAUACAGAGCUAAGCUGGGAAUGCUGAACACUGUGUCGAAGAUUCGAGGACAGGUGAAAACCACCGGCUACCCCCAGACGGAAGGCUUGCUGGGCGACUGUAUGCUGAAGUACGGGAAGGAGCUGGGCGAAGGCUCCGCGUUCGGCAAUGCAUUGAUAGAAGUUGGGGAAUCCAUGAAGCUAAUGGCUGAGGUGAAAGACUCUCUUGAUAUUAACGUAAAGCAAACUUUUAUUGACCCACUUCAGUUACUCCAAGACAAAGAUCUAAAAGAGAUUGGGCACCACCUGAAAAAGCUGGAAGGCCGCCGCCUGGAUUAUGAUUAUAAAAAGAAGCGAGUAGGUAAGAUACCAGAUGAAGAAGUCAGACAAGCAGUAGAAAAAUUUGAAGAGUCAAAGGAGUUGGCUGAAAGAAGCAUGUUUAAUUUUUUAGAAAACGAUGUAGAACAAGUCAGCCAGUUGGCUGUGUUUAUAGAGGCAGCUUUAGACUAUCACAAACAGUCCACGGAGAUCCUGCAGGAGUUACAGAGCAAUCUGCAGAUGCGAAUAUCAGCUGCAUCCAGUGUCCCCAGACGAGAGUAUAAGCCACGGCCCAUCAAAAGGAGUCCUAGUGAGCUCAAUGGGGUGUCCACCACCUCAUCGGCAAAGACAGCAGCCUACAGCAGACUGGAAGCAGCAGAUUAGGAAGGCCGAGGGACUGCUUCGGGAAGGCCCACUGACGGCAGAAAAGUGACAGGUCGCAGCCCAGCGACAAGGGAGGCAAGAGAAAGACUAAAAAAACAAAACAGCAGGAACAAAAAGUCAAAAGGCACAGCAGUCUGGGGCAUUUACUAAAAGACAAAGAGCCUCCUCAGUCAGCGCCAGGAGGAGAAAUCCAGCCCUGGAGAACCGGCCCCCAGAUCCCGGCGUGUGGCAAAGGAAGGGGGAGAGAGCACAGGAGUAGACCGGGCUGCAGAAACGCCAGGCCCAUCAGAUGCCACAUCUACUCUGGUGGCUGAUGCACCACCCGAGUCUACUCCUGUAAUUUGCUUUGUUUUUUUUGUUGUUGUUGUUUGUUUGUUUGUUUUUUAAUUGAAGCCUGAGCUGCUCACUUUGAAACAGGGGCUCAGGCAGAAGAAAACAGGACAGAGAAUAAGUACCCAAAGGACAUGCCUAGAGUAUGUGGGACCUGGGUAGAGCUUUGAGGACCAGGGAAGGAUUUAGGGGAGAAUGCUCCCAAAGAGCAUUCCAGGGCCUGGGAGCUUCCCAGAGCAUGCCAAGCUGAGGAUGCACAGGCUCACCAAGCCCAACUGAUACACCCCGCUCCCCACCCUCACCCCCACCCCUGGCUUGGGGUUGGCUCAGAAACUGAGGGGGGAUGAACUCACAAGCUAAUGAUUUUCAGAUCAAGAGCAGACUCUGGGCCCAGAUGGAGGUCAAGUCUCAGCCUCGUUGCUGAACUGCUUUGAACCUGUAUAUGCCUUAAUUUCUCCAUCCCUCAAAUUGGGGGGAAUAACGGUACCGAAGUAAAUCCACUGAUGUCAGUGAGGCACUUAGAAUUUUGUCCUGGCUUUGAGGGUUAUGUUGUCAUCCCUGUUGCUGAUGGGGGCUGAGGGCCAUGGAGCCACCACCAGGAUGAGAUGUGUGAGGCAUCUCUGUAUGAGUGAGUAGCCCUCUGCAUCAGGGACUUGGGGAAACAGAAGGUGGGGUGGGGAGGGCACUCCCCAGAAUUUUAGUGUUGCAAAAAUAGUAAGAGGGGACCCAAUAUUGUUAGGAGCUGGGCCACAUUAUUGCCAAGAGGGAAAGGAAGCAUAUUUUAGGGAGAACAUGAUUUCCCUACCCACUGUGCAUUCCUGAUGCAGUACUUACUCAACCAGCCCCCUUGAAACUCUUGUGUUCUGGUCUCCUUUGUUUCUUUUUUUCUCCUAAUG